rnacentral:piRNA from 1 species
GGCACAGAAUUGUCCACGAGCGAUGUUG